AGAAAUGACUGCUAAUACCGGAUAAGCCGAGAGGUGAAAGAUUUAUCACUUGAAGAGGUACUCGCGUCUGAUUAGCUAGAUGGUGGGGUAAGAGCCUACCAUGGCGACGAUCAGUAGCUGUUCUGAGAGGAAGAGCAGCCACACUGGGACUGAGACACGGCCCAGACUCCUACGGGAGGCAGCAGUGGGGAAUUUUCCGCAAUGGGCGAAAGCCUGACGGAGCAAUACCGCGUGUGGGAGGAAGGUCUUUGGAUCGUAAACCACUUUUCUUAGGGAAGAAGUUCUGACGGUACCUAAGGAAUAAGCCUCGGCUAACUCCGUGCCAGCAGCCGCGGUAAUACGGAGGAGGCGAGCGUUAUCCGGAAUUAUUGGGCGUAAAGAGUCCGUAGGUGGCGAUUCAAGUCUGCUGUCAAAGAGUGCAGCUCAACUGCAUAAAGGCGGUGGAAACUGGAUAGCUAGAGAAUGGUAGGGGUAGAGGGAAUUCCCAGUGUAGCGGUGAAAUGCGUAGAGAUUGGGAAGAACACCGGUGGCGAAAGCGCUCUACUGGGCCAUAACUGACACUGAGGGACGAAAGCUAGGGGAGCGAAAGGGAUUAGAUACCC
rnacentral:rRNA from 1 species